UUCAUUGGUGUCAACAGACUUGAGCAAUUGACAUGAUCAGCUAUUGAGAUACAGAAUACAGGAUAUAGAUCUGCUCCUCCUCCUUCAGUGAAGCUCCUCCCACUGCAAUUCACCAAUAAAUGCUGGAAUAUUCCCAUCAGCCUACAAGUGAAGACGAGCAUCAAACCAUCAGGAAGAGCUGAAAUCUGCAAAGACAGAGUUUAUUGAAGGACAGUGAGAAGAUGAGAGAUCCAGAACACUGCAGAAUGAAACACACUGAAGAACAAAGAGACUUGAUUAAAGAAAAUGAGGAGAAUGAAGUGCUUUGUGAAGAGGAGGGGA